CCCCCAUCAGAGCCCUUCGUCUCCUCGGUGCCCAGCGACCCCGUGCAGCUGGAGGUAGCAGGAUAAGGACCAGCCCCGAGACAGAGGAGAUGAGACCCCAGCUCUGCUCCCCACCCUGAUCUACCUGCACUAGGAUUCAGGACUCCUGGGUUCUCUCCCCGGCUCGGGAUGGGAAGUGGUGUCUAGUGGUUACCACAGGGGGGUGAGGAGGUUUUAAUGUUGUACUUUUUAGUUAUUUUCCUAAUGAUAGGUUGAUUCUCAAUGGUUGAUAACCAUGAAAACGGUUGAUUUGCAACUCAACAGAGUCUUUACGCUAAAUCUGGUGCUUUUUCUGUUGCUAACCAUGAUGGCAAACUAUAGCUGUGCACAUUGAUUUAAACUUUUCUAUGGAGUAAUUUACAUUUCUUCUGUCUAAUUUUUACAUUUUGAUUAUGUUGGAAAAUGGCAAAGAAUCAUUUAUUUCCUAGAUGAUGAUGAUGGUAUUUUACUUCUGAUUUGUCCAAGCUCUGUUUGGAUGGAAAUUCAAAUGCACAGAAACAGCAUUUUCAAUAUGUUUAAUAAUUAAAUAAAAUGUCAAAGUCAGA